GACGAACGCUGGCGGCGUGCUUAACACAUGCAAGUCGAACGAAGAGCGAUGGAAGCUUGCUUCUAUCAAUCUUAGUGGCGAACGGGUGAGUAACGCGUAAUCAACCUGCCCUUCAGAGGGGGACAACAGUUGGAAACGACUGCUAAUGCCGCAUACGAUCUGACCUCGGCAUCGAGGAUAGAUGAAAGGUGGCCUCUAUUUAUAAGCUAUCACUGAAGGAGGGGAUUGCGUCUGAUUAGCUAGUUGGAGGGGUAACGGCCCACCAAGGCGAUGAUCAGUAGCCGGUCUGAGAGGAUGAGCGGCCACAUAGGGACUGAGACACGGCCCAGACUCCUACGGGAGGCAGCAGUGGGGAAUCUUCCGCAAUGGACGAAAGUCUGACGGAGCAACGCCGCGUGAGUGAUGACGGCCGUCGGGUUGUAAAGCUCUGUUAAUCGGGACGAAAGGCCUUCUUGCGAAUAGUUAGAAGGAUUGACGGUACCGGAAUAGAAAGCCACGGCUAACUACGUG
rnacentral:rRNA from 1 species